GUACACUCCUACGGGAGGCAGCAGUGGGGAAUAUUGGACAAUGGGCGCAAGCCUGAUCCAGCCAUGCCGCGUGAGUGAUGAAGGCCCUAGGGUUGUAAAGCUCUUUCACCGGAGAAGAUAAUGACGGUAUCCGGAGAAGAAGCCCCGGCUAACUUCGUGCCAGCAGCCGCGGUAAUACGAAGGGGGCUAGCGUUGUUCGGAAUUACUGGGCGUAAAGCGCACGUAGGCGGAUCGAUCAGUCAGGGGUGAAAUCCCAGGGCUCAACCCUGGAACUGCCUUUGAUACUGUCGAUCUGGAGUAUGGAAGAGGUGAGUGGAAUUCCGAGUGUAGAGGUGAAAUUCGUAGAUAUUCGGAGGAACACCAGUGGCGAAGGCGGCUCACUGGUCCAUUACUGACGCUGAGGUGCGAAAGCGUGGGGAGCAAACAGGAUUAGAAACCCGAGUAGUCCCAUGAU
rnacentral:rRNA from 1 species